UAGAAUGAUGAAUAUUCAAAUCCUCCUGGUAAAUACACUAUUAAGCUGAUAAGUGGAGGUUAUGCAAUUAUACGUUUCAAGGCGGAUAAUCCAAGAUGGUGGUUACUUCGCUGCCACUUUACUUGGCAUCAAAUAACCGGAAUGGAAUUGGUCAUUCACGUAGGGGAUAAAAGUGAUCUUCCACCGGUGCCACGCGAUUUCCCGGUAUGCAACAACUGGAGACCAGCGGUGGACACUUUAAAAGAUUUUUAUAACUUAUAAGUUUCCCCAAACUUAAUUGGUUCUUCAAUUGCAUUCUAGAAUCUACUAUUUUAUUCGUUUUUAUUCCUCACAAUAUAAGUCACAAAUUGCUUUUUUAGAAAAAUAUUUAUCUUUUAAAAGAUUCUCCUUCUUUAUGUAAAUAAAAAUUAUUUAUGGUACAACGUUAAAUUAAUAUGAUUAAUUGACUUGAAAUAAGUAGCAGAAUAUAAAAUAAAUAUAUGGUAAUAUAAUAAAUUACAGUUUAUACACUAAA